rnacentral:rRNA from 1 species
AGAGUUUGAUCCUGGCUCAGAUUGAACGCUGGCGGCAGGUCUGACACAUGCAAGUCGAGCGGAUGAGAGGAGCUUGCUCCUGGAUUCAGCGGCGGACGGGUGAGUAAUGCCUAGGAAUCUGCCUGGUAGUGGGGGACAACGUUUCGAAAGGAACGCUAAUACCGCAUACGUCCUACGGGAGAGAGCAGGGGACCUUCGGGCCUUGCGCUAUCAGAUGAGCCUAGGUCGGAUUAGCUAGUUGGUGAGGUAAUGGCUCACCAAGGCGACGAUCCGUAACUGGUCUGAGAGGAUGAUCAGUCACACUGGAACUGAGACACGGUCCAGACUCCUACGGGAGGCAGCAGUGGGGAAUAUUGGACAAUGGGCGAAAGCUUGAUCCAGCCAUGCCGCGUGUGUGAAGAAGGUCUUCGGAUUGUAAAGCACUUUAAGUUGGGAGGAAGGGCAGUAACUUAAUAUGUUGCUGUUUUGACGUUACCGACAGAAUAGGCACCGGCUAACUCUGUGCCACAGGCGCAGACAAUA